UUUCCAGGACUGCGUUAUUUUAUCUCAAAUAAGGGUCAGGAUUUGCAGGUAGAAAGGGUAUGAUCAACUAGUAAGAAUGGAGGAUUGAAAAAGAUUGACAUGGAAGACGGUUGUCCUGGUUUAGUUGGCAGUUAUACAGACCUGAUGUAGUGGAAAUGUCAUGACCUGAAACGGUGAUUGAGCACCUGGUGGGAAGGCAGGGCCAAUCCAGGGGAGCUCAGGUGCAUGCAAUGCUCCUGAGUGACGAGAAGGGGUGGAGCCAGGAUCCAUUCCCCUCCCAGACCUCAUUUAAGGGUUGGCAGCGGAGGUAAAGGUAUCUUCUGUUGGAGGUUCCUGUCUACUGAGGGUCUUCUACAGGGUUCAGAGAACUGAAAGGAAGGCAACAUCCUUGGAGGGAUUUUCUCAAAGGAAUGAGUUUUCAUCCAUCUGAGAUCCAACUGUCCACCCACCCAGACAGAGGGAUGUACAGCUCAGCUGUUAACUCCACAGUCUUUCAGCAGGGGCAAUGGUUGUAUGCCACUGGGGAAGCUGAGCAUGGGAUGGGAGAUAGAAGACAGAAAACAUUUCUGGAAAAAACUGUCCGUGGCUUUUUCAUUGUUUGUACAUUCUAGUUGUCUGGGGAAUAAUACACCAAAAAACCUUACUAGCCAGAAAACAGCAAUAAAAAAGAAUCUUCAACUUUUUGAUCUUUCCCCUUAAUUUUACAGUUUUCUACUCCGUAUUUGUUGGUUAGAGUGGCAAAGUCCUUCAUCAUACAGCCUCUAUGGGUCAUAAAGGGGUAAAGGACAGAUUAUGAGCAGCAGAAAGGUACUUUCAAACGCUUGUUUUGAAAGUUUACUGUCAUACCUCAAUAUGCAACACAGUCUGUCAGAGAGGUGAACAGCAGCUUUUCUCUCUGGCCUUUGAGGUGUUAUCUCCAGUCUCUUAGCCUCUCCAAGCAGUCAUGCCUGAGCUGCUGGGAUGUAGCUCCAAUUACACUCCAUCUUACUUAAGAGGAGAUGGCCUCCAGCAGCUGCUCAUGCAUGCCCCUACAGCCAUCUGUUGGGAAGGUCUGGGUAGAACUAACCCUGCUCUGUAAGAGACACUGCACUCAGGGACCUAUCAAUAUCCCUUUAACAGUCCAGCCCUAGCUGAUCUUUUGUAUGAGGGCAAUGCUGCCUAAAUCUGAUAAAGUUGCCCCUCAAAACCUUUCUACCAACAUAACAGAGAGACAGGUCAGCAGCAGACAAAAAGCCUAAGGCUGCAGUGGUGGUAUCGCUACUGGGGAUUUGCUUGUGGAGCUGCAGAAAGCAGAAUAUUCUUUUCUUUUCUGUAGUCAGGUAAGGAUAUACAAGGGAAAAAAAAACGAGAACUCACAGGUUGAAAUAAAAACUAUGUAUCAAGACAGAAAAUACAAAGUAAAAAAAUAAUAGUAAUAAUAAUAUAAAAUAUAUAUACACACACAAAACUAUUGAUGCACAAGCAGCGGCUCACCACCCACCAACCGAUGCCCAACCAGUCCCCAAGCAGCAGCCACCUGCCAACUCCCCACCAUUUUUUGAGCUUUUUUUCUAGCAUCUUUACCACUCUUUCUUCCACAAAUACUGUCCCAUGAAGAUGGAUAUUCAAGCAGCAUGUGCUGCUAUUUUUCUUGAGCAAGUACGGGGGUUUGCCCCUAAGAAAUACAAACCAUAGGGACACAUCAGCUGCAUAUAUCCCUCCAUAGAUCUUACAAUCACAGCUCUGCAAAGAUCUUCAAAGUAUAAUUUUCUUCAUGCUUUAUAAAUCUCUGUAUCUUAAAAUGUGCAUAAUUGUGCUGUCUCUGAGGUUUAUUUCACCCGUUCUAGAAGAAGUUAAGAGAUCAAUGGUGAAGGAGCCUGCUAAGAAAGUGGGAAGAAUUAAGACUUUCCUGUACAAGUAAAGCAUAGCCCCUAGGUCAUGACUUGAGAUCCAUUUUAAGUUCUUUGGCUUUCAAAAUUUGAACCUUCCAUCAAAUACCCCUGUGGAAAAAAUGUUCUGCGCUCUCUCUACCAAACCUGUUCAAUGAAUUACAGAGAACAGCCCUGGUUUCAAAACAGGAUCUCACAUACUGUUCAGCCACCAGAGACAGGUACUAAGUUUUGAGUCUAUUUUGGCCGCAGUUUUUGUGUGCUUUUGCAUAUUCAAGGGUAUAAUCCUUGGCCAAACCAUUUCAUCAAAUAUCUCAAGGAUCUAAUCCCUCCCUUGCUGAAUGGUGGCAGAACUCCCACUGACACCAUGAAAACAGGAUCAAGCUGUUAAUCUUUUAUGCAAAGCAUAGAUGUAUUUUUUUUUUUUUUUACUCCUGAACCACAAACACCACCCAUCUCACUGCAUUUUUCUAUUGUAUACUGUUUAGUAUUUGCCCAAUGUUGAGUUUGCUACAGCUUGUGUUUAACUCCCUGAAAAAAUAUAUAUAGAGAGAGGAUCUGUAGAAUUCAGAGAAAAAAAAAUCUGCCAAGAAAUUUGGAGGCCAGCAUGAUAGGUUUCAUGGAAAAGAAAGCAAGACAACACUGUGUUAAAGGAAAAAAAAAACAGUAAAUUGACCCAAGUUGAACUGACUUCACUGAAAUUGUAACGGUUUUGGCCCAUCCACUGAGUAUUCAACCUAUGAAUAACAAUAGGAUUUUAAUAUACUAUAUUUCACUGAUGUUGUUCACACAAAUUGUCUGGAUUUUGAAAUCUAAUGACAAUGUAAUUCAUAGCUAACCUAUCCAAACCAUCAACGGUUCAGAAUAAAUACUAAAUUCAGUCUGAAGUUGAAAAAAAUUUGCAUAUUUUAAGAAGUCUCUUGGAAUGGCAUAUAGCAAAUAUACCUUAAAAGAAAGUAGAAAUUUAGGUUGAAUCGUGUAUUCAAUUAUAAAUUUUGAGUAGUAUCAAUUAAAUGAUUUUAAAGUUUCAACUCAAAUUCUUUUGCUGGACUUUCCGAUGCAUUAAAAGCAAAGCUGCU
ensembl:lncRNA